rnacentral:rRNA from 1 species
AGUGAACGCUGGCGGUAGGCCUAACACAUGCAAGUCGAACGGCAGCACAGUAAGAGCUUGCUCUUACGGGUGGCGAGUGGCGGACGGGUGAGGAAUACAUCGGAAUCUACUUUUUCGUGGGGGAUAACGUAGGGAAACUUACGCUAAUACCGCAUACGACCUACGGGUGAAAGCAGGGGAUCUUCGGACCUUGCGCGAUUGAAUGAGCCGAUGUCGGAUUAGCUAGUUGGCGGGGUAACGGCCCACGAAGGCGAGGAUCCGUAGCUGGUCUGAGAGGAUGAUCGGCCACACUGGAACUGAGACACGGUCAAGACUCCUACGGGAGGCAGCAGUGGGGAAUAUUGGACAAUGGGCGCAAGCCUGAUCCAGCCAUACCGCGUGGGUGAAGAAGGCCUUCGGGUUGUAAAGCCCUUUUGUUGGGAAAGAAAAGCAGCAGGUUAAUACCCCGCUGUUCUGACGGUACCCAAAGAAUAAGCACCGGCUAACUUCGUG